CGGCGUGUGGAGAGAGGGGCAGGUGGAGAAGGAGCUCCGGCCAUUCGAUGUCGCCGCUCCCCGGCUCGGUGACAACCGCCGGGCGGGCCAGCUCUCAUUUGUUGCCGGCAGCCCUAUGAGAAACAAGCUCCGGCUUGACGCAUCACCCUUCAAAGGCUGGCGAAACGUUUAGAUGGAAACCUUCCCUCCCUCCCACCGAUUGACAAACACAGGAACCAUUGAGCAGGGAGGGGGAAAACAAACCAAACUGCUGCAUGAGCUUAACAUCUGUGGAGUCUAAUCCCAGGAAUUAUCCCGGAGAUACCAGAGACCACAGAUGCUGGAAUCUUGAGCGGAAAAUCUUAUUGUGGUUUCUAUUUUGAAAGAAAAAUUACAUUGCACUCAAUUCACUGGGUCUUAUGACAUCGUAUCUACAGUGCCCUCCAUAAUGUUCGGGAGAAAGAUCCAUCAAUUAUUUCUUGUCAUUAAACUAAACUUGGACCUCCAGCGACACCUGAUCAACUUGGAAGAGAAUAAUGAGGAAAGAUGCACAAUAGGCUACUUUAAUGAUACAAUGGUACUUUAUUGUCACAUGUAUAGUACCUCUCAACAAGUGAUUUUCAUCCUUUCCAGAGUCAAAUGAUGCCCCUCAGAUAUAGAGGUUGUCAUGAUAAUUUUGCAAAGUUUCACAGCUUUGCAUAAAGCUUCAUACAGAUUAUUUUCAUGGACUGAUUUUAACAGGGGCCGUGCUGUGUAGCCCAGCGUGGUGAUACGGUGGUGAAAGAUCUGUUGGCAUGGCUACUAAUUGGCAACUGUUUAAUUUUUUCUGCUGGAUGCUUGUUCGCAAAAAAGAAACAAUCGACUAACUUUGCUGCAUCUAAAUGAUCACUUUGAUUGAAUCUGACUUUACGGUUAUUUUUGUCACAAGCCAUUCUCAUUGUGACGUUCAUGUUUGUCUUCAUUUUGAAGCUGCCUCUUUUGCUAUCAGUAAACUACCUCUUUCUGU